rnacentral:rRNA from 1 species
AAUAUUGCACAAUGGAGGGAACUCUGAUGCAGCAACGCCGCGUGAGUGAAGAAGGUUNNNGGAUCNUCAAACUCUGUCAUUGGNGAANAAUAAAUGACGGUACCCAAUGAGGAAGCCCCGGCUAACUACGUGCCAGCAGCCGCGGUAAUACGUAGGGGGCGAGCGUUGUCCGGAAUUACUGGGCGUAAAGGGUACGUAGGCGGCUAUAUAAGUCAGGUGUGAAAUACCAGUGCUUAACACUGGAAUUGCAUUUGAAACUGUGUAGCUUGAGUGCAGGAGAGGAAAGUGGAAUUUCCUGUGUAGCGGUGAAAUGCGUAGAUAUAGGAAGGAACACCAGUGGCGAAGGCGGCUCACUGGCUCGGUACUGACGCUGAGGUGCGAAAGCGUGGGGAGCAAACA